rnacentral:rRNA from 1 species
UACGUAGGGGGGCAAGCGUUGUCCGGAAUUAUUGGGCGUAAAGAGCUCGUAGGCGGUUUGUCGCGUCUGCCGUGAAAGUCCGGGGCUCAACUCCGGAUCUGCGGUGGGUACGGGCAGACUAGAGUGAUGUAGGGGAGACUGGAAUUCCUGGUGUAGCGGUGAAAUGCGCAGAUAUCAGGAGGAACACCGGUGGCGAAGGCGGGUCUCUGGGCCAUUACUGACGCUGAGGAGCGAAAGCAUGGGGGAGCGAACAGG